ensembl:lncRNA
GAGUCAAUCUGACACCCACAUCGGCAGUCUCUCGACGCCUCUGCACCAAGUUGACAAACUACCAACUCCACCAUCGCCGCGUUCUCCUCACUCACUGGGUGUGGCAGACUGAAGCGUGGUUAGAUUCUGCUCUCUACCUCUCUACCUCUACAACGUCCCCAACCACCAAGCCCUCUGGUGAAGUUCUUUACUGUGACACAGUCGAUAGCAGCCUACGCCUAUUGACCUGACAUAUCGAUGGGAAAGGGGAGGCAUGGAUGCUGAAAAAAAAAAAGAGUCGUCCAACCACAGCAGAUUGAACACGCGCUCGGUUGGAGAAAGCGCCACUGAGAUGAGGCCAGAAAAAAAGUAACAGUGCACUUAUAGAAACACCUUUCUUUAAUUGUUUUACUGGUUGUCAAUCAAUAGUUGGCUGUUGGACAGCCUGUGUCUCGUUCAAAUCAUUUUUUUGAUGCAUUUAUUUGUUAUAGAUGUGUUUGUUUAUUUGUCAUCCAUGUGUAAGGAUUUCCCUGUCGAUCUGUCUAUGUUUCUAUGGUGUUUCUAUAUCUUUAGCUAUUUAUGAGAAAGAAAGUAGACCUACUGUAAUGUUUUGUUAGGAUAUUCAAUACAGAAAAGAUACGCUCUAUUAUUUAUGCUGUAACACUAAGAUAACUUCAUAGUUCGGACGCACCUGGUGUGUAUAAAAUGUUGCUGUCGAUUUGCUCUUUGAUACCUGAUGAUUUUAAUAUCUAAUAACUAUAGAGUAUAACAAAAUUGGCUGAAUAGAUUAAGAAACAAUAUGAUUUAUUGUAUGAGAACAACAGGACAUGUGUUUACCCACAUGUGCUAUGUUGUGAUCUCACAUUUUCAAUAAGCCUAAUGCAUUCUUGAAACAGGAUUAAUUGAGCAUAUCAUAGCCUUAUUAAAUUACCCACACAUCGACUAAAAUCAUUGAUUGUGUAACAAUUGCAUAUUAAGAUAAAACCAACAAAUUGUUGAUCAGAAUUGUUAAUCAGCAUUAAUCUUUCCUGCUCUUUGUUUUCCUGCUGGCAGCAUAGCAGUUUAAUCCAGCAAUGUAAAAAAAAAAGAAGCAAUUGUGUAAUAGGCCUACUGUUAAAUCCUAUAUGGACAACAGGUGGCGCUGUUUCCCCAGUCGUAAUGGUUUUCAAUGCUUCACAUAAUGCAUCUGGCUUUUAAAAGAAUGUGCAAAAGCAAACAACUGUAGGUCACGUGGAGGGCACCAGUUUUUUUUCUUUAUUACUAUUUUGGUGCCAGCCCUGUAUACCAACACAGAAAACAUCCCCCUUGUCAUACACACCCACGCACAGAAGCACACUCACACUUGUGCACUCAGACAUGCACACAUACACACACGGACACAUGCAUGGUCACGCACACACACACACACACACACACACACACACACACACACACAGUCCCCCAUCCCCCAUACCCUUGAGGAAUAAGAAGGGAUUAUGUCAAAGCAAUUCAAUUGUAUGAGUGGAGGUAAUAAACUCUCGCUUUUAUCUAUUCAUUUGCGUCUUAAAGUAUUUCCUUUCGUCAGUCAUCUGUUUGCUCAUAAUAAUAAAUAGAAAAGCAGGUUUAGGGAUAUGUCCAGCUUCAUGUGUCCAAUCUUUAUAAACACUUCUUCCCUCUUU